rnacentral:rRNA from 1 species
UGCCAGACUCCUACGGGAGGCAGCAGUGGGGAAUAUUGCACAAUGGGCGAAAGCCUGAUGCAGCAACGCCGCGUGAAGGAAGAAGGGUUUCGGCUCGUAAACUUCUAUCAACAGGGACGAAAGAAAUGACGGUACCUGAAUAAGAAGCCCCGGCUAACUACGUGCCAGCAGCCGCGGUAAUACGUAGGGGGCAAGCGUUAUCCGGAUUCACUGGGUGUAAAGGGAGCGUAGACGGCGACGCAAGUCUGGAGUGAAAGCCCGGGGCCCAACCCCGGGACUGCUCUGGAAACUGCGGCGCUGGAGUACGGGAGGGGCAGGCGGAAUUCCUGGUGUAGCGGUGAAAUGCGUAGAUAUCAGGAGGAACACCGGCGGCGAAGGCGGCCUGCUGGACCGUGACUGACGUUGAGGCUCGAGAGCGUGGGGAGCAAACAGGAUUAGAUACCCUAGUACA